rnacentral:lncRNA from 1 species
UCCUGGCCCGACGGUGACGGAGGGCUUUGAUGAGGCCCGGCGGCCGCGUGCUUGCCAGGAAGGCCCGGGGCUUGAGGCCCUGGAAGGCCUGGCCCGUUCAGGAGUCCCGGCUGUUUGGGGGAAUGUCCCACGCCCUGUGGGGAUUUGAGCCGUGUCUCCCGGCCGACUUGGGUGUCCCGGUUGGUGUGUGGUCGGGCCUGGGGGCUUGGUGCGGGCGGGAACCGCGGGUAGCGACCACGUCUCGUCAGGGGGUUCGUGCCUGCUGCUGGGCACGGGAACGGCUCCGGGGGGGUCUUACGGGCGCUGAGGGGAUUCCGCAUCAUGGAGAGGUCAAGGGGAGUUGGUGGCCGUCACCCUUCGUCAGGGCAGGGUAGCAUCAGUGCUCCCGUGCUGGGGUUCCUGGAGAGCCGGCUGGCACGGACAGACUCUUGUGAGGGCAAGUGGCUGAUCGUGCGUCGGAUGGGUCCAGCAAAGGAGAGAAAGCUUCGGGUGCGCGCGCUCGCCAGGGAAAGGGUGACAGCGGGUGGGACCGAGAGGGAGAGAGAGAGAGAGAGAAAAAGGAAGAGAGAGGGUUUCCGCAGGGGCGGUGAGUCCUGGCGGAAGUCCUGAGGCAGAGGAGGUGCCAGGGGUUUGGGUUUCCCGGUCGUGUCGGGGGUGUGGCGCAGGUUGCCCCAGUGGGCCUGAAUGUGCCUCCGUGGGGCACCUUGUUGCCGUGUUGGGGGGCGGGGAGCCGGCCUUGGGGAUCCAUCUUUCGGGCCCUGGGACGUGGGAGAAGAAUGCCGGGCCUCUCUCUGUGCCCCUGGCGCCUCUGUGCAGGCCGGGCCUGCACCACCCCCCCGCGCCCGUCCCCAGGCAGGGUCCGUGUGGCUGCAGACACCCAGAGAGAGGGGAGGCUGGGGAGGCUGGGGAGCCGUGGCAGCCCGAUGCAGUGCGGGUCUCCAGGUGGAGGGGCCCUGGUCCCCUGGCGCCAGCGUGGCCCUUCCUCCUUGUGGAAACCCUUGUGGUGUGUGUGCUCUCUCGCCCUGACCCAGGAGAGCAGCAUGGCGGACCCCUGAUCUUGUGGCGUGCCACCGCGCGAGGCCGAGGAGCUCCCGCAGCCCAGUGGGCGUGGCGUCCUUGUCGCGGCUCUGUGGAGACCUGGCGAUGGAGAGCAGCAUGGCGGACCCCUGAUCUUGUGGCGUGCCACCGCGCGAGGCCGAGGAGCUCCCGCAGACCAGUGGGCGUGGCGUCCUUGUCGCGGCUCUGUGGAGACCUGGCGAUGGAGAGCAGCAUGGCGGACCCCUGAUCUUGUGGCGUGCCACCGCGCGAGGCCGAGGAGCUCCCGCAGACCAGUGGGCGUGGCGUCCUUGUCGCGGCUCUGUGGAGACCUGGCGAUGGUGAGCGGCCCCUGUCCUCAGUGGUGGAGAACUCGCCCUUGGGGCGCUCGUCUGUCCGGAGCCCCGGGCCAGCCCCGCUUCUCGCGGGCUUUGGCCCCGGCAGGCCAGCUCCGGGGGCGUGAGGGGGAGCGUCCCGUCCUGCCCAGUGGCUCGUCUGUCUGGGCACGCCCCCAAACGCUGCCGUGAUGGAGCGGGUGGGAUGUCCAGGUGCGGAGGCCGUGAAUUUGCCUUGCGGCGGCGGAGCCCGUGCUCGGAUCGAUGAUGACUCCCUCUAAAGCAUUCCUUGGAAAUCUGAACAAAAUGAGUGAGAACUCACUACCGUC